GACCCGAAAGAUGGUAAACUAUGUCUGAAUAGGGUGAAGUCGAGGAAACUCUGAUGGAGGCUCGUAGCGGUUCUGACGUGCAAAUCGAUCGUCAAAUUUGGGUAUAGGGGCGAAAGACUAAUCGAACCAUCUAGUAGCUGG
rnacentral:ncRNA from 1 species